rnacentral:rRNA from 1 species
CAAUAGCGUAUAUUAAAGUUGUUGCGGUAAAAAAGCUCGUAGUUGGAUUUCUGUUGAGAGCGACCGGUCCAUACCAUGUAUGCGUAUCUGGCUUGCUCUCGGCAUCCUCUCGAUAGACGUUACUGCGCUUGAUUGCGUGGUGCGGAUCUCGGGACUUUUACUUUGAGGAAAUUAGAGCGUUCACGGCAGGCUUUCGCCAGAAUACAUUAGCAUGGAAUAAUACUAUAGGAUCUUGGUUCUAUUUUGUUGGUUUCUAGAAUUGAGAUAAUGAUUAAUAGGGACAAUUGGGGGCAUUCGUAUCAACACGUCAGAGGUGGAAUUCUUGGAUUGUGUUGCGACGAACUACUGCGAAAGCAUUUGCCAAGGAUGUUUUCAUUGA